GAUGAACGCUGGCGGCGUGCCUAAUACAUGCAAGUCGAGCGAACGGACGAGAAGCUUGCUUCUCUGAUGUUAGCGGCGGACGGGUGAGUAACACGUGGAUAACCUACCUAUAAGACUGGGAUAACUUCGGGAAACCGGAGCUAAUACCGGAUAAUAUUUUGAACCGCAUGGUUCAAAAGUGAAAGACGGUCUUGCUGUCACUUAUAGAUGGAUCCGCGCCGCAUUAGCUAGUUGGUAAGGUAACGGCUUACCAAGGCAACGAUGCAUAGCCGACCUGAGAGAGUGAUCGGCCACACUGGAACGUAUACACGGUCCAGACUACUACGGGAGGCAGCAGAAGGGAAUCUUCCGCAAUGGGCGAAAGCCUGACGGAGCAACGCCGCGUGAGUGAUGAAGGUCUUAGGAGCGUAAAACUCUGUUAUUAGGGAAGAACAUAUGUGGAAGUAAAUGUGCACAUCUUGACGGUACCUAAUCAGAAAGCCACGGCUAACUACGUG
rnacentral:rRNA from 1 species